rnacentral:rRNA from 1 species
CGUGUAGGCGGUCCGUUAAGUCUGAUGUGAAAGCCCGGGGCUCACCCCCGGGAAGGGCAUUGGAAACUGGCGGACUCGAGUCCCGGAGAGGAGGGUGGAAUUCCUGGUGUAGCGGUGAAAUGCGUAGAUAUCAGGAGGAACAUCGGAGGCGAAGGCGGCCCUCUGGACGGUGACUGACGCUGAGACGCGAAAGCGUGGGGGAGAAAC